UACCAACAGGAAUGGAAGCGGGAGGCAGGAAGGGAGCUGAGAUCUCAUGCUGUAGCCUGCUGUGAAUGGAGAGCCGCACUGUGAAGGUGCAAUCCAGCAUACGUCAUGUAAACUACAAGCUGCUGAUUGCCUGGCAUUCAGCUCCAAAGGAACCUACUCAGGGUGCAUUAAUCCCACUUAUGUUCUAGUGCUGUCAAGAAAGUGAAACCUCUCAGAAGCUGCAGUUGCUCUCCUAAACUGAAGCAUAGCCUUGGAUGUUUUGGUUAGAAAGGAGAAGAGACUCUUCUACAAAAUGCUGGAAUGUACUAAAGUGAAGACUUGCCCUUGUGCACCUGCAUUAAAUGUUGCUGAAUCUGUGACUGAGCAUUGCCCUACCCACACUCCCAUUGGUGCUGCCACGGCAGAGCUAGAAAGAGUAGCUAGGAAGAAACAGACCUCAUGGUUACAAGUGACAUUUGGCCUGAUUGAAGUAGCCUUCCAACCCUCCCAAGGCAAUAUC